GGUUCUACAGACAGGUACAGAGGAGGGGGAUCUGUAGAUUACUGGGUCUACAGACAGGGACAGAGGAGGGGGAUAGGUAGAUUACUGGUUCUACAGACAGGGGAGGGGGAUAGGUAGAUUACUGGUUCUACAGACAGGGGAGGGGGAUAGGUAGAUUACUGGUUCUACAGACAGGG